UAGCGAUUUGACAAAUUAGCAAUAACGAAACGAUGAGUCAAAUAGUGGUUUCCAAGUGUGUUCAGCUUAACGUCUUAGCAAUUGUGUAAGGUCUUUGAGGUUAGACAGACAACGGAAGAUAAAACAGAAUGUUAUAAUUACAAUCUUAGGAAAACUAAAACUUCUCGAAAAGUAUUACGUUUCUCUUAGAUUUUAUUUGUAGGAGGAAAAUAGAAAACAGAAAAAUCAUAGCUGUGUAAAGCGAAACCAACUUUGUGAGUUUUAUAUUUGCUUUUUUCUUUUUUGCUUGAGAGAGAAGUUAAGAAGUAAUGGCUACACCGUUCCAUUUGCUGCAGACUUUGCAAGCACAGUCACUCGGGUGAAAACAAGAAUAAUAGAUUGCUUUGACAGAAACUUGAACAUAAACGUCUCCAAGAAUCAAAUGUGGAGUGGUAUUGUUCCAUAGGCCUUCCCACACUUCGCCAAACUGACCAGAUCCUAAUCGCUUCAGAAGUUGUAUGGAGCUGCGGUCGAUCUCCCACUGGUCCACAGUUUUAUAUGACAAGCCAAUUGGAGCUGGGACUUGUAUCUGUUUCACAGAAUAAUUAGAAUACCAGUAAGAAAAAAGUUAGAUUUUUUUUUUGGCUGAAAACAAUAGUCUUGGUCCUUUUAAAAAGAGGCAUCAUUUUUAAAAACAAAAUACUGUAUGUUUUAUUCUAAUUAAAAUGGAAAACAACUGUGGUAGAAUCUGUAUCGUUACCUCUUCAAGCUGCUCUUCUAAAUCCUUCUAAGUCAGGCACCUUGCUGUCCAUCUUUCCUACCCCACAUCCAAUCAAUACCUCCCUCAAAUGGCUAUGGAGUGCUCUCUGCCUUCUUGCCUAGCUAAAUCAAGUUUCAAGGUCAAAUUGAAGUUCUAUCUCAUCCACAGUUAUGGCCAUACAGUCUUUGUUGAAACUACUAAACUCUACGGUUAUAGCGGAAAAAGAAGACAGUUUGUAAAUGAACGGGCAUUUCUAUGUUUCAAUAAAAUUUAUUUACAAAAAUAAGUGUGGGGCAGUCUUGGCUCAUGGGCCAUAUAGUUUGCUUAUCCAUUCUUUUGGUAUUCAGAUGACCUUUUUUUCCUGAACUGACAUAUCACAUGACAAUUCAAUAUCUGAAGGAAAAAAGUUAACUUCAAAAAUAAGGGAAAACACCUUGAAAGCAUGUCACCUUUAAGCAUGGUUUUUCCAGCUUGACACACAGGCCAUCACUUGUCUUGGUGUAGUGACUCACAAAUUCAUUCAGUGUUGAAAAGGUUCUUCUCUGGGUGAGGAAAAAGCCCCCUUCAUCCAGUGUUCUGAUUCUGUAGUGUUUCACAACCCCAUCAUGUAAAACUGGAACCCAAAAUAAGUCCUGUUAAUAAACUUCUUGCCAAAGUGAA